AUUGAACGCUGGCGGAAUGCUUUACACAUGCAAGUCGAACGGUAGAGGGGGCAACCCCUCGAGAGUGGCGAACGGGUGAGUAAUAUAUCGGAACGUGCCCAGUCGUGGGGGAUAACGUAGCGAAAGUUACGCUAAUACCGCAUACGAUCUAAGGAUGGAAGCGGGGGAUCGCAAGACCUCGCGCGAUUGGAGCGUCCGAUAUCAGAUUAGGUAGUUGGGUGGGUAAAAGCUCACCAAGCCAACGAUCUGUAGCUGGUAUGAGAGGACGACCAGCCACACUGGAACUGAGACACGGUCCAGAAUCCUACGGGAGGCAGCAGUGGGGAAUUUUGGACAAUGGACGCAAGUCUGAUCCAGCCAUUCCGCGUGCAGGAUGAAGGCCCUCGGGUUGUAAACUGCUUUUGUACGGAACGAAAAGGUCUCUCUUAAUACGGGGGGCUCAUGACGGUACCGUAAGAAUAAGCACCGGCUAACUACGUGCCAGCAGCCGCAGUAA
rnacentral:rRNA from 1 species